rnacentral:rRNA from 1 species
GAUGAACGCUGACAGCAUGCUUAACACAUGCAAGUCAACUUUGGCGUACGGGUGAGUAACGCGGAAAGGACUUGACUGACAGCUAGGGUCCCCAUUUGGAAACGAAUGCUAAUGGGUAAUACUGUGGGAGGGCUUUGCGGGCCAUUAGCAGGUUGGAGAGGUAACGUCUCACCAAGGCGAGGAUGGUUAGCCGGCCUGGGAGGGUGAUCGGCCACAAUGGGACUGAGAAACGGCCCGUAGUCCUGAGGGAGGCAGCAGCGGGGAAUAGUGGACGAUGGACCAAAGUCUGAUGCAGCAAUUCUGGGUGUACGAUGAAGUUUUCGGAAUGUAAAGGGCUUUCAGUUGGGAAGCGGUACCAACAGAAGAAGUGACGGCUAAAUACGUGCCAGCAGCCGCGGUAAUUC